rnacentral:rRNA from 1 species
UACAGAGGGGGCAAGCGUUAUUCGGAAUUAUUGGGCGUAAAGGGCGCGUAGGCGGGCUGUCAAGUCUGGGGUGAAAUCCCGCGGCUCAACCGUGGAACUGCCUUAGAUACUGACGGCCUCGAGGGAGGUAGGGGCAUGCGGAACUGAUGGUGGAGCGGUGAAAUGCGUUGAUAUCAUCAGGAACUCCGGUGGCGAAGGCGGCGUGCUGGACCUCUUCUGACGCUGAGGCGCGAAAGCUAGGGGAGCAAACGGG